UGAGGUGAAAAGCUCAGCUAGGUCCUGGCUC
rnacentral:piRNA from 1 species